UACGUAUGGUGCAAGCGUUAUCCGGAUUUACUGGGCGUAAAGGGAGCGCAGGCGGUGCGCCAAGUCUGAUGUGAAACCCCGGGGCUCAACCCCGGUCAUGCAUUGGAAACUGGCGGGCUGGAGUGCCGGAGAGGUAAGCGGAAUUCCUAGUGUAGCGGUGAAAUGCGUAGAUAUUAGGAGGAACACCAGUGGCGAAGGCGGCUUACUGGACGGCAACUGACGCUGAGGCUCGAAAGCGUGGGGAGCAAACAGG
rnacentral:rRNA from 1 species